rnacentral:misc_RNA from 1 species
AAGUCGUAACAAGGUUUCCGUAGGUGAACCUGCGGAAGGAUCAUUAUUGAAUUUAUUCUCUAUCUAUGUGAACCAAAAAACCUGAGACUCGCUUUUGCGUGACUCAAUAAUUUUUUACUUAUAAAACUUUUGAUAUACUCUAAAAUAGUAUAAAUACAACUUUUAGCAACGGAUCUCUUGGUUCUC